UACGAAGGGUGCAAGCGUUACUCGGAAUUACUGGGCGUAAAGCGUGCGUAGGUGGUUUGUUAAGUCUGUUGUGAAAGCCCCGGGCUCAACCUGGGAAUGGCAAUGGAUACUGGCGAGCUAGAGUGUGUCAGAGGAUGGUGGAAUUCCCGGUGUAGCGGUGAAAUGCGUAGAGAUCGGGAGGAACAUCAGUGGCGAAGGCGGCCAUCUGGGACAACACUGACGCUGAGGCACGAAAGCGUGGGGAGCAAACAGG
rnacentral:rRNA from 1 species